AACGAACGCUGGCGGCAUGCCUAACACAUGCAAGUCGAACGAGACCUUCGUGUCUAGUGGCGCUCGGGUGCGUCACGCGUGGGAACCUGCCCUUAGGUUCGGAAUAACUCCCCGAAAGGGGUGCUAAUACCGGAUAAUUUCUUCGGACCAAAGAUUUAUCGCGUUUGGAUGGGCCCGCGUUGGAUUAGCUAGUUGGUAGGGUAAAAGCCUAUCAAGGCGACGAUCCAUAGCUGGUCUGAGAGGAUGAUCAGCCACACUGGGACUGAGACACGGCCCAGACUCCUACGGGAGGCAGCAGUGGGGAAUACAGGACAAUGGGCGAAAGCCUGAUCCAGCAAUGCCGCGUGAGUGAUGAAGGCCUUAGGGAUGUAAAGCUCUUUUACCCGGGAUGAUAAUGACAGUACCGGGAGAAUAAGCGCCGGCUAACUCCGUG
rnacentral:rRNA from 1 species